ACACAUGCAGUCGAACGCUGAAGCACCAGCUUGCUGGUGUGGAUGAGUGGCGAACGGGUGAGUAAUACGUGAGUAACCUGCCCUUGACUCUGGGAUAAGCCCGGGAAACUGGGUCUAAUACUGGAUGCUACAUGUCACCGCAUGGUGGUGUGUGGAAAGGGUUUACUGGUCUUGGAUGGGCUCACGGCCUAUCAGCUUGUUGGUGAGGUAAUGGCUCACCAAGGCGACGACGGGUAGCCGGCCUGAGAGGGUGACCGGCCACACUGGGACUGAGACACGGCCCAGACUCCUACGGGAGGCAGCAGUGGGGAAUAUUGCACAAUGGGCGAAAGCCUGAUGCAGCGACGCCGCGUGAGGGAUGACGGCCUUCGGGUUGUAAACCUCUUUCAGCAGGGAAGAAGCCACAAGUGACGGUACCUGCAGAAGAAGCGCCGGCUAACUACGUGCCAGCAGCCGCGGUAAUACGUAGGGCGCAAGCGUUGUCCGGAAUUAUUGGGCGUAAAGAGCUCGUAGGCGGUUUGUCGCGUCUGCUGUGAAAGCCCGGGGCUUAACCCCGGGUGUGCAGUGGGUACGGGCAGACUAGAGUGCAGUAGGGGAGACUGGAAUUCCUGGUGUAGCGGUGGAAUGCGCAGAUAUCAGGAGGAACACCGAUGGCGAAGGCAGGUCUCUGGGCUGUUACUGACGCUGAGGAGCGAAAGCAUGGGGAGCGAACAGGAUUAGAUACCCUGGUAGUCCAUGCCGUAAACGUUGGGCACUAGGUGUGGGGGACAUUCCACGUUUUCCGCGCCGUAGCUAACGCAUUAAGUGCCCCGCCUGGGGAGUACGGCCGCAAGGCUAAAACUCAAAGGAAUUGACGGGGGCCCGCACAAGCGGCGGAGCAUGCGGAUUAAUUCGAUGCAACGCGAAGAACCUUACCA
rnacentral:rRNA from 2 species